ensembl:lncRNA
AAAGUACAUGGACCACUUCUUGUUGUGAGGGCGGUGUCCCCUGCAGGGCCCCUGAACAAGAGGCCUACACAGCACAGAAAUAGUGUUUGAACCACCCCGAGCCUAUAUUCACACCUUCAGCUAUAGCACAGGAACGUUCCGUUCAUUUGCUAUAAGCCAAAUUUCUGGCCUUCAUGUUUGGGGGUGGUCACAGCCCCCGUGUGAUCCUUGCUAUAUUUUAGGGCAACCCAUGGGGGACGUUUUAAUUGCGAUAUCUGUCUGCAACCCAAAAGACCUGUUGUAGUGCUCUCCUCUCCCGCUGUUCCCUUUCCGCCUUCCCUUCACCCAGCCUUGUGCCAUCAGCCAGCACGCGGCUCACAAGCCUUUUGCAUAGGUUUGUCUCAUCAAACACAGACUUAUCAAACAGACAGGACAGUCGUCCUGUAGGGGACAGGAGGCCUCCGGCGAUCUUCCUCUGAAAUUCGACUUCAUACGAGGAACACUAGGUGGCACACAACAACCACUGAAUUAUUUCUUUCUUGGUUCAGAAACCAAACAUUGGUUUCCAAGCAUCAGCCUGGAAUAUAAUUAAAGGACUGAGUGCAAAACACAACCCUAAAAACCCACUGGGAAGAUAACCUUUCCAAUAAAACUUCACCUCUCUUCUUCCAUCAGAAUUACUAUUUUGCUAUGUUUAACUGCCUAAUUUGUCAGAUUCCAAAAGUAAGCACACAUUAUAUGGUGUGCCACAUUAUAUAGUGGCUUGUUGAGGGGCAAGGGAAUACUAUCAUUUCAGGGCAAUAUAAAUAAUAGUGUAACAAGCAAAGUAAAGCACACUUGGCUCAGCAGCAUCUGCAGGUCAAAAAUGAGAAUCUCAUCCACCUGGAUGAGAGUCAAGCUAUAUCAUAAUCUAUCCUAAGGUUUCCAUUAAAGGAUCAGUGAUUCAGUUUGUAAGUAAAAUCAAAUACUCACUUUUACUCUUUAUAUACUGUUAAGUAUUUUUUUCCUCACCCUCAGAGAGGAUAAAAAGCCAGGAAUAUAUUUUGCUGCUCCAAAUUCCUGUGCCUUAUUGUAUCAGUGGUUAGCAUGGAUUCAUUUUAAUUCUGGGGGGGAAAAAAAUAACAUUCUUUUGGUCAAAAGAUACCUUUAUAUUCCACCGUUGAUAAAAAUCCAGCACAUAAAAAGGAAAAGCAUUUACGGGACUCUUUACAGCUCAUUUCCAAAGGACUCAGCCUGCCAGUUCCUGGUGCCACUUCACAGAGCCGUCUCAGUAGCACAAACUGGAGCGACUUCUGUGUGUGGUUUUUCACAGAUUUUUACAGAUAUCUCAUGGAAACUUAAUAUCAGCUAAUUAAUCAAGUUGGAUGAGGGCUGCCUAAUAGCAGGGGAACAACUGAACGUACCACUUCCAAGAACAAGGACAGAAUGAGAAGCAACCUAAAGGGGACCAUUUGUGUGCUGAUACAGCUGCGCCACUUUCAGAGCUGCUCUCAGAACUUGUUGCAUACAGUUUUACCAAACUGACAGGAAAUGAGUGAAAGCACAAAGAGCCAUUCCUCAGCAAAGGGGAUGAGCACUGCAGUCAGAUGCCUACUAGCCUGCCCAGAAAUGCCCUUGCUGCAUAACUACAUACACUGAAAUACUUUUCACCAAUGUUUUAGAGUAACUCUUGCAAUUUGAUUGUCUGACCCCAGCAAAGUUUAA